AGGGGGUAAGAAGGGGUGGGAUCUAGCGAGCCCACCUCCCACCCGUGUUUACUGUACCUUAGUUGCUUCGGCGGGCCCGCCAUUCAUGGCCGCCGGGGGCUCUCAGCCCCGGGCCCGCGCCCGCCGGAGACACCACGAACUCUGUCUGAUCUAGUGAAGUCUGAGUUGAUUGUAUCGCAAUCAGUUAAAACUUUCAACAAUGGAUCUCUUGGUUCCGGCAUCGAUGAAGAACGCAGCGAAAUGCGAUAACUAGUGUGAAUUGCAGAAUUCCGUGAAUCAUCGAGUCUUUGAACGCACAUUGCGCCCCCUGGUAUUCCGGGGGGCAUGCCUGUCCGAGCGUCAUUGCUGCCCAUCAAGCACGGCUUGUGUGUUGGGUCGUCGUCCCCUCUCCGGGGGGGACGGGCCCCAAAGGCAGCGGCGGCACCGCGUCCGAUCCUCGAGCGUAUGGGGCUUUGUCACCCGCUCUGUAGGCCCGGCCGGCGCUUGCCGAACGCAUAUCAAUCUUUUUCCAGGUUGACCUCGGAUCAGGUAGGGAUACCCGGCUGAACUUAAGCAUAUCAAUAAGCGGAGGAAUUUUUUUUUUUUUUUUUU
rnacentral:misc_RNA from 1 species